rnacentral:rRNA from 1 species
UCUGGGUCCACCUCCCACCCGUGUUUAUUUUACCUUGUUGCUUCGGCGGGCCCGCCUUAACUGGCCGCCGGGGGGCUUACGCCCCCGGGCCCGCGCCCGCCGAAGACACCCUCGAACUCUGUCUGAAGAUUGAAGUCUGAGUGAAAAUAUAAAUUAUUUAAAACUUUCAACAACGGAUCUCUUGGUUCCGGCAUCGAUGAAGAACGCAGCGAAAUGCGAUACGUAAUGUGAAUUGCAAAUUCAGUGAAUCAUCGAGUCUUUGAACGCACAUUGCGCCCCCUGGUAUUCCGGGGGGCAUGCCUGUCCGAGCGUCAUUGCUGCCCUCAAGCCCGGCUUGUGUGUUGGGCCCCGUCCCCCGAUCUCCGGGGGACGGGCCCGAAAGGCAGCGGCGGCACCGCGUCCGGUCCUCGAGCGUAUGGGGCUUUGUCACCCGCUCUGUAGGCCCGGCCGGCGCUUGCCGAUCAACCCAAAUUUUUAUCCAGGUUGACCUCGGAUCAGGUAGGGAUACCCGCUGAACUUAAGCAUAUCAUAA